AGAUCUGAUGGGACGGGGGUGGAGAUCGUGGUUAUUUCUCCAGCGGGGACAUUUUUUUAUACAAGUCUACUUGGGUGGCCAUAGGUAGAGACGGAGUUCUACCUGAAGAAUGUUUUCAGCUGCAGGUGAAAAGGGACCCUCCCCGACCCUCCACCGCCACAGCCCAGGAUCCAUUGGCUGUUGUAUGAUGUUGGUCAGCAAGGUGUCCCUGUCCCACUCCAUCAGAGGUCCCAGGAAGGAGCGGGGACCUGGGGAGCCAUGUGGGGGCAUGUUGCAGGAUCACAAGUGUGGAGCACAGAGGACCGCUUACAGGAGUCAGGUCUUUCCCUCCGCCAUGGCCAUCCUUGGGAUUAAACUCAGGGUUGUCAGGCUUGGAGGCAAGAGCCUUUACCCUCUGAGCCAUCUCGCCAGCUCUGGACUGCGAUUGAACCUGCAGUUCUUCUGCCUUCAACCCCAACCAUUGGCUAACCCUUCACUUGUCAUCCUAUGCCUGGUAAAUCAACUCUUCCCUGUUUUCUGUUCCCCCAAUCCCAACAUUCCAAUCUCACUUUUUUCCUUACUGCUUCCUGUACCCCCUUCCCCAGGAAUCCUGGUCUCCUAGAGCUUGGCUUGACCACCUUUAGUCUAUCAUUGUCUCCCUCUCCGUCCCACCCUCCCUCUCUUCCUCCUUGGUGUUUCUGAUAGUGUGCUUUACCAAGUAGCCUGUGCUUGCCUUGGACUUGAUGUUUAGCCCAGGCUGGUCUGGAACGUUCUGAGUCUCCCUAGUACCUGACAUCACAGGUCUGUGCGACCACGGUCGGGUUUUGUUCUUGUUUUGUUUGCUUUUUACUUCAUUGUUUUAAAAGCCACACUAAGCUCAGCCUCCUGAUAGACCCAACCGGACAUGAGAGUACGAAUGGUACCCAGCGGCCUCGGCACUGGUCAGCAUCCCCUGGACUCUUGACUGCUUUGUCUCACAGGUUCCUUAAUUUCUCCAAAGCAGGAGACAUUCUCCUGGCUAGUUUUGCUGCGGAAUGCACCCCUCCCUGCUGCAGACUUGAGUCCCCUUCAUUGGAAAGUGUGCAGUUUUCACGUUACCUUCUUAGCCAUCAGGCUGUUGCCUGCCUGAGCAUGACAGUGUGUGGAAGGGCACAGGCUCUGCUCGGAUCCUGCUUUUCAAUUUACUGGACAUAGAAAGGUGAGGCCAAGAAAGAAACCCUUUGAAGGGUACAGACCAGGGGGUGACCAAGGUCCUGGUCCUCCCUGCAGGUCAUGUGACACCUGCCACAUGUUUCAUUUCCUCGUGUUUCUGAUGAGGUAGGUUGCCAUACGGGGAAACUGAGGCACAGCUGUUUCUUAAGGUCUUAUGGUUAGCCAUUUCCUAACUCCAAUACACAGUGAACUCUCUUGGAAUAAACACUCCCUUCGUUUUACCCAUGAGUCUCACUGAGGGCCUCAAAAGUCCCCAAUACCUCCUCUAUGGCACCAGAAACUCAAGGCCAGCAUUUCUACAGAGUCACACAAUGAUGGGGGGCAGGCAUACUGUCCAGGGUAUUCAGAGCACAAACUUCCAGCUUCGUCUCCCCUCCUUCCCAGUCUGAACCCUACCUUGACGUAGUCAUAGAAACAGCCUUCAGAAGGCUCCACAUCAAACUGCCAGAAGACCAGCUUCACCCUGUACCCCGUGGGGACAGUGAUCACGGUGGUCGUCUCCAAGUCACUGGGGUAAGGCUUGGGAUACAGAGGGGAGGUCACCUCUCCAUAGAGCUUCUGAGGGAGGUAGAUGGAGCCCUCCACCCCACAGAACAGGGUCACCAGGAGGAGGGGGAUGAGACGCCUGUCAAAGAGAGAGAGGGGGAGUGUUUGUGGGGCUGGAGGGGUGCAGCACCCUGCCAUUUGGGCUGUCGUAGGCAGGAACGGGAUGACUAAACUGCCUGAUCCUUCCCCAAGCCCAUUCUAGACUUCAUAGAGGGACUGUGAAUGGGGCAGCCCCAGUCUCUGCAGCUGCUGCUUCUGCUCUCUCCCAGUAGGACUGGCUUGGGACCAGCUAUCUGAGGGUGAAGUUGUCCAGCGAUGGCUCAGCAAAGGCUCCCAAGGCUUCUUCAUUCAGCAAAGGCCCUUGGGAAAAACCCUUCAUGGCGUCGGAGAACACGCAUGGGGUGGGGAAUUCACUCCUCACUCAGAGAGUUCCCACUCCUCACUGUUACCCUGCUAAGAGCGCAGAGUCAAGAAAGGAGAGGCUGCUUCAGCUCAUGUCUAAGUAAUGUGGGAGCACGUUUGCCUCCAUGCCCAACUCCUCCCUCCUCCCUUGGUACCCAUCAGCCUUACUCACAUGUCUCAAGGCCAGUUUGUUUUGGGUCCUCAGCUCUCCUGCAAGAGUCUUCAGGCACUUGUAAAUCAUUCCAAAUCUUCCGUACAAAUUAAAGAGCUCAUCUUCUCAGGCUUGUGAUGCCCUGGUGACGAGGGCCAGCAGGAAAGUGUGAGCUGGUGGUACAGUCUUCAGUGAAACAGGCCUUCCCAGGGACCGAGUC